rnacentral:miRNA from 1 species
AGAAGGACUAGUAAGAUGGCU